UACGUAGGGUGCGAGCGUUAAUCGGAAUUACUGGGCGUAAAGCGUGCGCAGGCGGUUAUAUAAGUCAGAUGUGAAAUCCCCGGGCUCAACCUGGGAACUGCAUUUGAGACUGUAUGGCUAGAGUGUGGCAGAGGGGGGUGGAAUUCCACGUGUAGCAGUGAAAUGCGUAGAGAUGUGGAGGAACACCGAUGGCGAAGGCAGCCCCCUGGGCCAAGACUGACGCUCAUGCACGAAAGCGUGGGGAGCAAACAGGAUUAGAUACCCUGGUAGUCCACGCCCUAAACGAUGUCAACUAGAUGUUGGAAGGGUUAAACCUUUUAGUGUCGCAGCUAACGCGUGAAGUUGACCGCCUGGGGAGUACGGCCGCAAGGCUAAA
rnacentral:rRNA from 1 species